rnacentral:lncRNA from 1 species
CUCGGCUCCUCCUCCUCCUCCUCCUGCUGGUCAGCAAUCCUUGCAGUUGAUCUGUCGCCGAGGCAGAACCACCUAUUAAGCACCAUUGUAAACAUCAACUGGCAAGCAGAGAUACCAAUAAGCAUCUGCCUCUUAGUGUAUGGCUGAUUUUGGGAAGGGUUUGGGGGUAUGAACACCCAAAAGCAAAAUUGGUCAUCCCCGUUUGAGGUCAUGUUGAAGUCACAAGAGGCUAGCAACCAACAAGCUACAGCUCAUCGGCUUCCAUUCCACAAGGCCAUAAAGAUCAAUAAGAAGAGGGGAUGGAGAGUGAAUGACCAGGAACAACGGCAGCGGGAGCAAGCAUACCGAUGUAUGUAUCUAGAUGCGUCGAGCAGAGCAUGACAAGAAUGACAGCUGGUGGUGGUGGGUCGUCCCUAUCGCUCGUGCGCCGCUUCUACACUUCUCCUCAACGCGCAGCCCCGACGCUUCCCUAUACGCUCGAAUCCACCACCAUG